CGUACAAUAUUUAUUUACAACCUAAACCGCCAGAGAAUUACGAGCGCAAGCUUAAAACUCAAAGGACUUGACGGUGUCCCAUCUACCUAGAGGAGCCUGUUCUGUAAUUGAUAAUCCCCGAUAAACCUCACCCCUCUUUGUUAAUCAGCCUGUAUACUUCCGUCGUAAGCUUACCAUAUGAAUGUAUUAGUAAGCUAAAUAGUUUAUACUAAAACGUCAGGUCAAAGUGCAGCUAAUAGAGGAGGCAAGAAAUGGGCUACAAUUUCUAAAUUAAGAAUAUACGAAAUAGUAAUUGAAAACAACUAUGAAGGUGGAUUUAGAAGUAAAGUGAAAAUAGAGUGUUCACUUUAAUAGUGCUCUGGGACGUGUAC
rnacentral:rRNA from 1 species